GGAGGAUAGCCCGGGGAAACUCGGAUUAAUACUCCAUAAGAUUUUGAUUGGCAUCAAUUAGGAUUGAAAGAUUUAUUGGAUAAGGAUAGGCAUGCGUCAGAUUAGUUAGUUGGUAGUGUAACGGACUACCAAGGCGAUGAUCUGUAGGGGGCCUGAGAGGGUGAACCCCCACACUGGUACUGAGACACGGACCAGACUCCUACGGGAGGCAGCAGUGAGGAAUAUUGGACAAUGGAGGGAACUCUGAUCCAGCCAUCCCGCGUGCAGGAAGACGGCCCUAUGGGUUGUAAACUGCUUUUGUAUGGGGAUAAAUCUACUUACGUGUAGGUAGUUGAAGGUACCAUACGAAUAAGCAUCGGCUAACUCCGUGCCAGCAGCCGCGGUAAUACGGAGGAUGCAAGCGUUAUCCGGAUUCAUUGGGUUUAAAGGGUCCGUAGGCGGGCUAAUAAGUCAGUGGUGAAAUUUUGUCGCUUAACGAUAAAACUGCCAUUGAUACUGUUAGUCUUGAGUGAUAUUGAAGUAGCUGGAAUGUGUAGUGUAGCGGUGAAAUGCAUAGAUAUUACACAGAACACCGAUUGCGAAGGCAGGUUACUAAGUAUUAACUGACGCUGAAGGACGAAAGCGUGGGGAGC
rnacentral:rRNA from 1 species